rnacentral:lncRNA from 1 species
CCCGGGGUGGAGUAUGGGCGCGCUUAUGGCCAGGAGGGGAUCGAGAAUGCAGUCGGGCUUCCUUUGGCCUUUUUUCAAUUGCGGGCUUACUCGAGUCUCCCGCUUGCCGCUCCCUCGCCGUCUCUUCAUCCUUCAUUUUGAAGGCUUCUUCUGCUCGGGCGUACCCUUCGGCUUGGGCCAGCAAAUCAGCAAAAUCCCUGGGAUACUUCUUCUCCAGGGAGAACAAAAGGUCAUUCUUCUGAAGGCCACCCUUCAGGGCGGCCAUUGCGAC